AUUGAGCUGAGGAGUUCCAUAAUAGGACGAAACGACCGUCCAAU
rnacentral:hammerhead_ribozyme from 1 species